AACGAACGCUGGCGGCAUGCCUAACACAUGCAAGUCGAACGAGACCUUCGGGUCUAGUGGCGCACGGGUGCGUAACGCGUGGGAACCUGCCCUUAGGUUCGGAAUAACUCCCCGAAAGGGGUGCUAAUACCGGAUAAUGUCUUCGGACCAAAGAUUUAUCGCCUUUGGAUGGGCCCGCGUUGGAUUAGCUAGUUGGUAGGGUAAAAGCCUACCAAGGCGACGAUCCAUAGCUGGUCUGAGAGGAUGAUCAGCCACACUGGGACUGAGACACGGCCCAGACUCCUACGGGAGGCAGCAGUGGGGAAUAGAGGACAAUGGGCGAAAGCAUGAUCCAGCAAUGCCGCGUGAGUGAUGAAGGCCUUAGGGUUGUAAAGCGCUUUUACCCGGGAUGAUAAUGACAGUACCGGGAGAAUAAGCUCCGGCUAACUCCGUG
rnacentral:rRNA from 1 species